AUGGGGGACAGGAAGGUCCCAGCUUUGGAGGGAGUGGAAUGUAAGCUAGAAAAGUUGAAGCUCUCAGAUGCAGAGAAGAAAGGCAUUAAGAUUGGAAAGAAGCAGGCUUGUUCUCCUACCAUGGGCAAGCUACAAGCAGUGGGUAAGCUCUUCUCAGAAAGACCGGCAAAAUCUGAAUAUUUGGGGAGAACUUUAGCAGGGUGGUGUCCUUUCUCAAGGGUAGAAUGCAAGGAUAUGGGAAGGAAUCGGUUUCUUUUCACAUUCCAUGAAGAAGCAAGCAAGAAGAAGGCACUAGAAAAUGGCCCAUGGAUGUUCAACAAAAACUUGCUAGUGAUGGAAGAUUUUGUACCCAGUAAUACUAUUGAUGAGUAUGAUUUUAAGAUGAUCCCCAUCUGGGUCGGAGCUUAUGGUAUCCCUAUGGGAAUGAUGAGCAUGGAAACAGGAGAUCUG
rnacentral:rRNA from 1 species